rnacentral:rRNA from 1 species
GAGGAAUAAGCAUCGGCUAACUCCGUGCCAGCAGCCGCGGUAAUACGGGGGAUGCAAGCGUUAUCCGGAAUCAUUGGGCGUAAAGCGCCUGUAGGUUGUUUAAUAAGUCUGUUGUUAAAGACUAGGGCUUAACCCUAGAAAAGCAAUGGAAACUACUAGACUAGAGUAUGGCAGGGGUAGAGGGAAUUUCUAGUGUAGCGGUGAAAUGCGUAGAUAUUAGAAAGAACACCGGUGGCGAAAGCGCUCUACUGGACCAUUACUGACACUCAGAGGCGAAAGCUAGGGUAGCAAAAGGGAUUAGAUACCCCUGUAGUCCUAGCCGUAAACGAUGGAUACUAGAUGUUGUGCAUAAUGUACAGUAUCGUAGCUAACGCGUUAAGUAUCCCGCCUGGGGAGUACGCUCGCAAGGGUGAAACUCAAAGGAAUUGACGGGGGCCCGCACAAGCGGUGGAGCAUGUGGUUUAAUUCGAUGCAACGCGAAGAACCUUACCAGGGCUUGACAUACUACAGAUUCUUUUGAGAAAAAGAAGUGCCUUCGGGAAUGUAGAUACAGGUGGUGCAUGGCUGUCGUCAGCUCGUGUCGUGAGAUGUUGGGUUAAGUCCCGCAACGAGCGCAACCCUUAUUUUUAGUUACUAAUUCGUUAGGUUCUCUAGAAAGACUGCCGGUGACAAACCGGAGGAAGGUGAGGAUGACGUCAAGUCAGCAUGCCCCUUAUGUCCUGGGCUACACACGUGCUACAAUGGUUAAGACAAAGAGUCGCGAGCUCGCGAGAGUCAGCUAAUCUCAUAAACUUAGCCUAAGUUCAGAUUGUAGGCUGCAACUCGCCUGCAUGAAG